GGGUUGUGAGGUUAAGCGACUAAGCGUACACGGUGGAUGCCCUGGCAGUCAGAGGCGAUGAAGGACGUGCUAAUCUGCGAUAAGCGUCGGUAAGGUGAUAUGAACCGUUAUAACCGGCGAUUUCCGAAUGGGGAAACCCAGUGUGAUUCGUCACACUAUCAUUAACUGAAUCCAUAGGUUAAUGAGGCGAACCGGGGGAACUGAAACAUCUAAGUACCCCGAGGAAAAGAAAUCAACCGAGAUUCCCCCAGUAGCGGCGAGCGAACGGGGAGCAGCCCAGAGCCUGAAUCAGUGUGUGUGUUAGUGGAAGCGUCUGGAAAGGCGUGCGAUACAGGGUGACAGCCCCGUACACAAAAAUGCACAUACUGUGAGCUCGAUGAGUAGGGCGGGACACGUGGUAUCCUGUCUGAAUAUGGGGGGACCAUCCUCCAAGGCUAAAUACUCCUGACUGACCGAUAGUGAACCAGUACCGUGAGGGAAAGGCGAAAAGAACCCCGGCGAGGGGAGUGAAAAAGAACCUGAAACCGUGUACGUACAAGCAGUGGGAGCACGCUUAGGCGUGUGACUGCGUACCUUUUGUAUAAUGGGUCAGCGACUUAUAUUCUGUAGCAAGGUUAACCGAAUAGGGGAGCCGAAGGGAAACCGAGUCUUAACUGGGCGUUAAGUUGCAGGGUAUAGACCCGAAACCCGGUGAUCUAGCCAUGGGCAGGUUGAAGGUUGGGUAACACUAACUGGAGGACCGAACCGACUAAUGUUGAAAAAUUAGCGGAUGACUUGUGGCUGGGGGUGAAAGGCCAAUCAAACCGGGAGAUAGCUGGUUCUCCCCGAAAGCUAUUUAGGUAGCGCCUCGUGAAUUCAUCUCCGGGGGUAGAGCACUGUUUCGGCAAGGGGGUCAUCCCGACUUACCAACCCGAUGCAAACUGCGAAUACCGGAGAAUGUUAUCACGGGAGACACACGGCGGGUGCUAACGUCCGUCGUGAAGAGGGAAACAACCCAGACCGCCAGCUAAGGUCCCAAAGUCAUGGUUAAGUGGGAAACGAUGUGGGAAGGCCCAGACAGCCAGGAUGUUGGCUUAGAAGCAGCCAUCAUUUAAAGAAAGCGUAAUAGCUCACUGGUCGAGUCGGCCUGCGCGGAAGAUGUAACGGGGCUAAACCAUGCACCGAAGCUGCGGCAGCGACGCUUAUGCGUUGUUGGGUAGGGGAGCGUUCUGUAAGCCUGUGAAGGUGUGCUGUGAGGUAUGCUGGAGGUAUCAGAAGUGCGAAUGCUGACAUAAGUAACGAUAAAGCGGGUGAAAAGCCCGCUCGCCGGAAGACCAAGGGUUCCUGUCCAACGUUAAUCGGGGCAGGGUGAGUCGACCCCUAAGGCGAGGCCGAAAGGCGUAGUCGAUGGGAAACAGGUUAAUAUUCCUGUACUUGGUGUUACUGCGAAGGGGGGACGGAGAAGGCUAUGUUGGCCGGGCGACGGUUGUCCCGGUUUAAGCGUGUAGGCUGGUUUUCCAGGCAAAUCCGGAAAAUCAAGGCCGAGGCGUGAUGACGAGGCACUACGGUGCUGAAGCAACAAAUGCCCUGCUUCCAGGAAAAGCCUCUAAGCAUCAGGUAACAUCAAAUCGUACCCCAAACCGACACAGGUGGUCAGGUAGAGAAUACCAAGGCGCUUGAGAGAACUCGGGUGAAGGAACUAGGCAAAAUGGUGCCGUAACUUCGGGAGAAGGCACGCUGAUACGUAGGUGAAGCGACUUGCUCGUGGAGCUGAAAUCAGUCGAAGAUACCAGCUGGCUGCAACUGUUUAUUAAAAACACAGCACUGUGCAAACACGAAAGUGGACGUAUACGGUGUGACGCCUGCCCGGUGCCGGAAGGUUAAUUGAUGGGGUUAGCGCAAGCGAAGCUCUUGAUCGAAGCCCCGGUAAACGGCGGCCGUAACUAUAACGGUCCUAAGGUAGCGAAAUUCCUUGUCGGGUAAGUUCCGACCUGCACGAAUGGCGUAAUGAUGGCCAGGCUGUCUCCACCCGAGACUCAGUGAAAUUGAACUCGCUGUGAAGAUGCAGUGUACCCGCGGCAAGACGGAAAGACCCCGUGAACCUUUACUAUAGCUUGACACUGAACAUUGAGCCUUGAUGUGUAGGAUAGGUGGGAGGCUUUGAAGUGUGGACGCCAGUCUGCAUGGAGCCGACCUUGAAAUACCACCCUUUAAUGUUUGAUGUUC
rnacentral:rRNA from 1 species